GUCCACACCGUAAACGAUGAUUACUAGAUUUUGGCCGCAAGGUCAGAGUCCAAGCGAAAGUGUUUAGUAAUCCACCUGGGGAGUACGUCCGCAAGGAUGAAACUCAAAGGAAUUGACGGGGCCGCACAAGCGGUGGAGCAUGUGGUUUAAUUCGAUGAUACGCGAGGAACCUUACCUGGGCUUGAAAGUUAGUGACCGUCUCUGAAAGGAGAUUUUCCGCAAGGACACGAAACUAGGUGCUGCAUGGCUGUCGU
rnacentral:rRNA from 1 species